rnacentral:pre_miRNA from 1 species
UGAUGAUGAUGACGAUGAUAAUGAUGACGAUGAUGAUGAUGAUGAUUAAAGAAAUUCUGAAAAAAAAAUUCUGCAUACAUUAACGCUGGUCACACUUUUGACUCUUUACAGGCUUCAUCAUCAUCAUCGUCGUCGUCAUCAUCAUCACUUUCG